rnacentral:rRNA from 1 species
CCUACGGGCGGCAGCAGUGAGGAAUAUUGGUCAAUGGGCGAGAGCCUGAACCAGCCAAGUCGCGUGAAGGAUGACGGCCCUACGGGUUGUAAACUUCUUUUGUCAGGGAGCAAUUUGAUCCACGCGUGGGCUUUUCGAGAGUACCUGAAGAAAAAGCAUCGGCUAACUCCGUGCCAGCAGCCGCGGUAAUACGGAGGAUGCGAGCGUUAUCCGGAUUUAUUGGGUUUAAAGGGAGCGUAGGUGGAUUGUUAAGUCAGUUGUGAAAGUUUGCGGCUCAACCGUAAAAUUGCAGUUGAAACUGGCAGUCUUGAGUACAGUAGAGGUGGGCGGAAUUCGUGGUGUAGCGGUGAAAUGCUUAGAUAUCACGAAGAACUCCGAUUGCGAAGGCAGUUCACUGGACUGCAACUGACACUGAGGCUCGAAAGUGUGGGUAUCAAACAGGAUUAGAUACCCUAGUAGUC